GUGGGGAAUAUUGCACAAGUGGGGGAAACCCUGAUGCAGCGACGCCGCGUGAAGGAAGAAGUAUCUCGGUAUGUAAACUUCUAUCAGCAGGGAAGAUAGUGACGGUACCUGACUAAGAAGCCCCGGCUAACUACGUGCC
rnacentral:rRNA from 1 species